rnacentral:rRNA from 2 species
UACGUAGGGUGCGAGCGUUAAUCGGAAUUACUGGGCGUAAAGCGUGCGCAGGUGGUUGUGUAAGUCAGAUGUGAAAUCCCCGGGCUCAACCUGGGAACUGCAUUUGAGACUGCACGGCUAGAGGAUGGCAGAGGGGGGUAGAAUUCCACGUGUAGCAGUGAAAUGCGUAGAGAUGUGGAGGAAUACCGAUGGCGAAGGCAGCCCCCUGGGCUAUUUCUGACACUCAUGCACGAAAGCGUGGGGAGCAAACAGG